GGCCAAGUAGGAUGUGUUGUCACUGGCGCUUUUAUAAAUCUUGCCCACAGGAAUGCAGCUGAACAGAAGACUGGAAACAGAGCUGCAUACUGUUGAGGAUGAGAAGAAAUGGUUUGACUGAAAAUCUACAAAGCACUGCAGAACAAAAAUAAAGGUACCACCGAUCUCCACCGAGGCUAUUCCUGGAGCCGUGUGACACUGAUGAUGUUGACAGCAAUCACCUUCCCACAUCACAGCCACCGCAAAGAUCACGUACGCGGCCCACAGUUCCCACACCACACCUCUUUAUUGGCCCAAGACAACGUGAGGAUGAAGGUGUCCAGAUGACCAGACACUAAAUGCGGAUGAGAAGGUGGUUGGUAUUCCUGCCAAAUGCGUAUGCUCUGUUUGGCUCGUGGGUUCCUUCAUUCUGUCCAUUUGGCAGGUGCACACAUACACCCAGAAGAACCAGAAUAUGACAGGAUCCCUAUUCAAACGCACAGCUCAAUCUCCUGUUCCUGUCAUGUGUAGCUGCCUUCGGGAAGUCCUGUCAGCGCUUACCAUUUGGCCUUGAACCUGGGCUAAACUAUUGAAUUCAUCAUGCAUAAAAC